rnacentral:rRNA from 1 species
AUGGGCAUCUUGCCGGUGAUCUUUGUACUACUCCCUUUGUUGGUACUCAAGUCACUAGGAAAUCUAAGUGCGCUAUCAUCUGGAGUUGUAACAAGCCACAACCCCGGAGGGGAUUGGGUGCAACCAUCACAUGCCACGCUCGACGGUUAUCCCAAGAGCUGCGGCAAUGUGAGCUUCGGUUACCCCUUCGGCAUCGGAUCCAGGUGUUCCCGGGGGUCUGACUUCAACCUCACCUGCAACAACGCCUCUCAUCCGCCCAAACUAUUCUUGAGGGACGACAUCACCGAGGUGAUCCACUUUGACGACCCUUUUUUCAAUAUAAACUUCAUCAAGGCAUGCUUCUGGCAUACCAUCCCCAUACAACAACCUGGUGUCAGUGUUUACAACUUGUCUUUGGUACCUCCUGGGAGGUCCUUCUCUCUCGGGGCCGCUGUUCUAAACAUUACCGGUUGUGACCUGGAUGUAUACUCUGUCGGAGACGACGCAACCAUGUUGAUAUGCAGCACCGUGUGCCUGGAUCCAAACAUCCCAGAGAUGGUGGCUAUGCACAACUGUAAAAAUACCUCGGGGUGUUGA